rnacentral:rRNA from 1 species
UACGAAGGGGGCUAGCGUUGCUCGGAAUCACUGGGCGUAAAGCGCACGUAGGCGGAUUGCUAAGUCAGGGGUGAAAUCCUGGAGCUCAACUCCAGAACUGCCCUUGAUACUGGCGGUCUCGAGUCCGGAAGAGGAGAGUGGAAUUCCUGGUGUAGCGGUGAAAUGCGCAGAUAUCAGGAAGAACACCCGUGGCGAAGGCGGCUCUCUGGGACGGUACUGACGGCUGAGACGCGAAAGCGUGGGGAGCGAACAGG